GGCUCCGUAGCUUGGAGGAAAAAAGCGCCCGUCUACCAAAUUGGAAGUCGUGGGUUCGAUUCCCACCGGAGCUC
rfam:Aedes albopictus isolate Foshan contig24702, whole genome shotgun sequence.